UCGAAACAUAUGAAGCAGCUGAACCUGGAAUUUUAUUCAAUUAAGAAAAAUACACAAGCAUAACACAGACUCGUACAACUAAGGAUAAAGUGCAGAGCAUAUUAAGCGUACAUAGGACUCUCUGCUUUAUUUUCUAAGCCAAACGUAGCGCAUAGGCAUACACAUAUGUAGCAAACAUGCAUGGAUGAGUGCAAAGCAGGGCUUUGUUUUAUUUACGCAGUAAAUAUAUAUGCAUUAAGGUCAUCCAUGCAAUUUAGUUUAAGAUAGCUAAUUUACUUAGGACAGUGUUAUUGUCAGCUUGAUCAUCAAGUUUUUGCAGGGUCCUCUUUGCAAUGUCUUCCAUAGCUGCUUCAAAUUUAGAAGCAGAUUGUUUUUGAUCUGAAGCAUACUUAUAGGUCCAGGUCCAUGCCACAUUGUUAUCUUUUGGGUAAAAUAUCACAGCCUUGAAGUCAAGGACAUGAUACUUUGAGGGGAUAUCACCUGCAGUAACCCUGUAAACGAUUGCUUUUUCUUUGUUUUCGGUGAUCUCAGUCGACGUUUUGAAAUUGGGAGAAUUUGGGCCAUAUGUGAUUGUGCGCUCGUUAGGGUUUUUGGGAUUUGGUGUGAUGGAUGUAUACAGCUCAGGAAUGGCAAACGGAUAUAUUAUUGUGGAGUUUUGAAGCUCCAUCCAGUACACUUCUGGUGAACUCUUGAUCGUAACUGUAACUCCACCUGUGCCUGUUUCAGUUUUAGACGCCAUUUCUGCUAACAGAGAAACAAAGCAAAUGAAAGAGAGAAUUACUCGGAGG
rnacentral:misc_RNA from 1 species